AUGAGUCUGGGAGCUCAGCUAAAAUCCCCUGGCCCAGUUUUUUUUUUUUUAAGAGGUGGUCAUAGAAUCUGGAGAAACAUGGAAAUGGAGACCAAAAGAGGGAAGGAGGGAUGCCAUCAGACGACACUGGGAUCCCGGAAGACGGAACACUGUGUGCUAGUGGCAAAGUGUCCUCCAUGGGCUCAGCACUUUACAGACGUCACCUCACGUAACCCAUGCCACAAUUGGGAGAAAGCACGAUUGCCACGGUACCCACGAGGAACCAGAGAGGAAAAGGAGCUGUCCAGGACCACGGGGCUGGCUGGUUGGUGGAGGAGGCAGGAAAGCCCCGCAAAAAGACAUGGGAUCUCAUUAUGUUGCCUAGGCUGGUCUCGAACUCCUGGCCUCAAGCAAUCUUCUCACCUCAGUCUCCCUAAUUGCUGGAAUUAUAGGUAUGAGCCAUCCCGCCAGGCUUCCAUGGCAUUUCUAACAGUAUCCUUGAAGAACCUGCGUGAAUCCCUUUCCCACUGUCUAUCUGCACUGUCCCUGUCCUGUGCUAACCCUGCUCAGACACACUGGCUGUCUUUCUGGUCCUCCCACAGGCUAACCAAGGCCCCACCCCAGGGCCUUUCCACUUAG
rnacentral:lncRNA from 13 species